UUUUGGGAGGUCUGUGGA
rnacentral:misc_RNA from 1 species